GGGUGGUAAUGCCGGAUGUUCCACAUGAUCGCAUGUGAUUGUGGGAAAGAUUCUAUCGGCGUGGGAUGGGGUCGCGUCCUAUCAGCUUGUUGGUGAGGUAACGGCUCACCAAGGCUUCGACGGGUAGCCGGCCUGAGAGGGCGACCGGCCACAUUGGGACUGAGAUACGGCCCAGACUCCUACGGGAGGCAGCAGUGGGGAAUAUUGCACAAUGGGCGCAAGCCUGAUGCAGCGACGCCGCGUGAGGGAUGGAGGCCUUCGGGUUGUAAACCUCUUUUGUUUGGGAGCAAGCCUUCGGGUGAGUGUACCUUUCGAAUAAGCGCCGGCUAACUACGUGCCAGCAGCCGCGGUAAUACGUAGGGCGCAAGCGUUAUCCGGAUUUAUUGGGCGUAAAGGGCUCGUAGGCGGCUCGUCGCGUCCGGUGUGAAAGUCCAUCGCUUAACGGUGGAUCUGCGCCGGGUACGGGCGGGCUGGAGUGCGGUAGGGGAGACUGGAAUUCCCGGUGUAACGGUGGAAUGUGUAGAUAUCGGAAAGAACACCA
rnacentral:rRNA from 1 species